GCCCUUCGCCCGCCCAGGCUUCUUCGUCAUCCUCCUCCUCAUUCACUCUGCCGCGUCCCGUUGUCCGCCAAAAUGAACUCCCAUUGCACCUUCUUCUCUUCCUGUUCCCAUUGCGCUCGCAGUUGCUGCUACACGGGGUUCCACUCCUCUGUCUUCAUCUACGUCUUACACCGCAUCAUUCUCCGAUCCCCACCCAUGACGCCGCGGGGCUUCAUUCUCUCUCACAAGGAGAAUCUCCCCCUUCUGUGGCGUUUUCUCUCUCUCCUUCAGUUUGCUUCACUAUCCGAGAGGUUCUGGAUACCGCUGUGAGGUUCUGUGACGUGGAUUUCUAGUGCUGGUCCUGCGGAGCGCCUUUUUUUUUUUUUUUUUUUUGAAGUGGUCGCGGAGUUUAGACCUUUGUGUGUGUGUGUGCUGUGUGGUAGAGUGAUUUUAAUUUAUUAUUUAUUAUUAUUUUGGGUUACUGGUACCUCGUCUUAGUCCGACUUCGAAUUUCGCAGUUGUGUGUGGAUUUUCAUGGGUGCUGAGUUUCCGUAAGUGUGCUGGAUUGUUUGGAGGAGUGAGGUUAUUGACAGCUCUGGUAGUGUUAGGCAGGGCCUGUCGAUUGUGAACCGGGAUUUAUGGUUUCGGCAGUAGUGGACGGGUGUGAUUUAUUGGCGUUGAUGCGCAUUUGACGUCACGUUCAUGACAUUUGUGUAUAUCCGUGGUUGAUUUGUAAGCGUUUUACACGCAGCUGUGCUCGCUCACCACCUCUUCAGUAGUGCUCUCUCGUUUUUGCUGUCAUGACCGCUGCAUAUGACAUUUGAAGUUCUAGUCUGAAUCGUAUCCUUUGGGGACGAUAGUAGAGAACAGAUCUCCAUGUCGCAGCCACGCGACUGGAAUUGUAGAUGCUCACUCUCUUCUGUCAAGUGUCGAACUGUCGGCCCUCAAUCACCAAACGCUGGCAACGUGGGAGUGAAAUCUAGCAUGCAAUGGCAUUGUGUUUGCAUGUGUUUGACACAUGGUGUGUUUGUUAGGGUGCUCGAGUGAUCUAUCGCAGGUUCAUUGGAGCUACAGAUAGUUUGUUAUCCCAAAUUCUUGCGGUAUUGGUGACUGGAGGAGGGAUUGGUAAACUGUCAGUGAGCAGACAGUUCGUGGCAAUGGUGUGCUUCGACCUUUGCAUCUUUGCAGGGAGUCCUUUUUCUUGUCUUGCCCCACUUCAAUCCUCCAUCCGUUCUGGUCAACUCAAUCUUCUCCUUACAGAGAGACUUCAUGUACAUGCCCACAAUGCCACGCCUGUGGUUGGUGUUUUUCUUGUCUAGAUUCUUACUGGGCGUUAUCCCUCCUGAGCUGAGAAAGAAGGAUCCCCUAGGGGAGAAAUAGGUGGAGUCGAUACCUUGUGAGCGGGGUGUUAAGCACAAGGGUGCGGCAUACCGCGUCAGACGUGAGCUAUGGCUCUGUAGGGUGUGAUGAGUGCUUAUCCUGCGCUCAUCUAUUGCCCUGAACACCUACCCUAGUGACACGGCCCUUACAAUUUCUUGCGUGGACCGUGGUCAUUGUGUACCACUCCUGAGCUAGUUAGUGGGGAUGCAACGAAGUCGUGAACAACUUAUGUGACUCGUCCAAUUUCAACCAUAGGUCAUGGUGAUUGUUUGUAGAAAAAUCCAGCAAAAAAUAUUUAUAUGAACGUCACAAGUUGACGAUGGUUGUAUGUGAAUUAUACGAUGUCGACAAUUGAACUACGUUUCUUAUGA